rnacentral:rRNA from 1 species
GGGUUGUGAGGUUAAGCGACUAAGCGUACACGGUGGAUGCCCUGGCAGUCAGAGGCGAUGAAGGACGUGCUAAUCUGCGAUAAGCGUCGGUAAGGUGAUAUGAACCGUUAUAACCGGCGAUUUCCGAAUGGGGAAACCCAGUGUGAUUCGUCACACUAUCAUUAACUGAAUCCAUAGGUUAAUGAGGCGAACCGGGGGAACUGAAACAUCUAAGUACCCCGAGGAAAAGAAAUCAACCGAGAUUCCCCCAGUAGCGGCGAGCGAACGGGGAGCAGCCCAGAGCCUGAAUCAGUGUGUGUGUUAGUGGAAGCGUCUGGAAAGGCGCGCGAUACAGGGUGACAGCCCCGUACACAAAAAUGCACAUGCUGUGAGCUCGAUGAGUAGGGCGGGACACGUGGUAUCCUGUCUGAAUAUGGGGGGACCAUCCUCCAAGGCUAAAUACUCCUGACUGACCGAUAGUGAACCAGUACCGUGAGGGAAAGGCGAAAAGAACCCCGGCGAGGGGAGUGAAAAAGAACCUGAAACCGUGUACGUACAAGCAGUGGGAGCACGCUUAGGCGUGUGACUGCGUACCUUUUGUAUAAUGGGUCAGCGACUUAUAUUCUGUAGCAAGGUUAACCGAAUAGGGGAGCCGAAGGGAAACCGAGUCUUAACUGGGCGUUAAGUUGCAGGGUAUAGACCCGAAACCCGGUGAUCUAGCCAUGGGCAGGUUGAAGGUUGGGUAACACUAACUGGAGGACCGAACCGACUAAUGUUGAAAAAUUAGCGGAUGACUUGUGGCUGGGGGUGAAAGGCCAAUCAAACCGGGAGAUAGCUGGUUCUCCCCGAAAGCUAUUUAGGUAGCGCCUCGUGAAUUCAUCUCCGGGGGUAGAGCACUGUUUCGGCAAGGGGGUCAUCCCGACUUACCAACCCGAUGCAAACUGCGAAUACCGGAGAAUGUUAUCACGGGAGACACACGGCGGGUGCUAACGUCCGUCGUGAAGAGGGAAACAACCCAGACCGCCAGCUAAGGUCCCAAAGUCAUGGUUAAGUGGGAAACGAUGUGGGAAGGCCCAGACAGCCAGGAUGUUGGCUUAGAAGCAGCCAUCAUUUAAAGAAAGCGUAAUAGCUCACUGGUCGAGUCGGCCUGCGCGGAAGAUGUAACGGGGCUAAACCAUGCACCGAAGCUGCGGCAGCGACGCUGAUGCGUUGUUGGGUAGGGGAGCGUUCUGUAAGCCUGCGAAGGUGUGCUGUGAGGCAUGCUGGAGGUAUCAGAAGUGCGAAUGCUGACAUAAGUAACGAUAAAGCGGGUGAAAAGCCCGCUCGCCGGAAGACCAAGGGUUCCUGUCCAACGUUAAUCGGGGCAGGGUGAGUCGACCCCUAAGGCGAGGCCGAAAGGCGUAGUCGAUGGGAAACAGGUUAAUAUUCCUGUACUUGGUGUUACUGCGAAGGGGGGACGGAGAAGGCUAUGUUGGCCGGGCGACGGUUGUCCCGGUUUAAGCGUGUAGGCUGGUUUUCCAGGCAAAUCCGGAAAAUCAAGGCUGAGGCGUGAUGACGAGGCACUACGGUGCUGAAGCAACAAAUGCCCUGCUUCCAGGAAAAGCCUCUAAGCAUCAGGUAACAUCAAAUCGUACCCCAAACCGACACAGGUGGUCAGGUAGAGAAUACCAAGGCGCUUGAGAGAACUCGGGUGAAGGAACUAGGCAAAAUGGUGCCGUAACUUCGGGAGAAGGCACGCUGAUAUGUAGGUGAAGUCCCUCGCGGAUGGAGCUGAAAUCAGUCGAAGAUACCAGCUGGCUGCAACUGUUUAUUAAAAACACAGCACUGUGCAAACACGAAAGUGGACGUAUACGGUGUGACGCCUGCCCGGUGCCGGAAGGUUAAUUGAUGGGGUCAGCGCAAGCGAAGCUCUUGAUCGAAGCCCCGGUAAACGGCGGCCGUAACUAUAACGGUCCUAAGGUAGCGAAAUUCCUUGUCGGGUAAGUUCCGACCUGCACGAAUGGCGUAAUGAUGGCCAGGCUGUCUCCACCCGAGACUCAGUGAAAUUGAACUCGCUGUGAAGAUGCAGUGUACCCGCGGCAAGACGGAAAGACCCCGUGAACCUUUACUAUAGCUUGACACUGAACAUUGAGCCUUGAUGUGUAGGAUAGGUGGGAGGCUUUGAAGUGUGGACGCCAGUCUGCAUGGAGCCGACCUUGAAAUACCACCCUUUAAUGUUUGAUGUUCUAACGUUGACCCGUGAUCCGGGUUGCGGACAGUGUCUGGUGGGUAGUUUGACUGGGGCGGUCUCCUCCUAAAGAGUAACGGAGGAGCACGAAGGUUGGCUAAUCCUGGUCGGACAUCAGGAGGUUAGUGCAAUGGCAUAAGCCAGCUUGACUGCGAGCGUGACGGCGCGAGCAGGUGCGAAAGCAGGUCAUAGUGAUCCGGUGGUUCUGAAUGGAAGGGCCAUCGCUCAACGGAUAAAAGGUACUCCGGGGAUAACAGGCUGAUACCGCCCAAGAGUUCAUAUCGACGGCGGUGUUUGGCACCUCGAUGUCGGCUCAUCACAUCCUGGGGCUGAAGUAGGUCCCAAGGGUAUGGCUGUUCGCCAUUUAAAGUGGUACGCGAGCUGGGUUUAGAACGUCGUGAGACAGUUCGGUCCCUAUCUGCCGUGGGCGCUGGAGAACUGAGGGGGGCUGCUCCUAGUACGAGAGGACCGGAGUGGACGCAUCACUGGUGUUCGGGUUGUCAUGCCAAUGGCACUGCCCGGUAGCUAAAUGCGGAAGAGAUAAGUGCUGAAAGCAUCUAAGCACGAAACUUGCCCCGAGAUGAGUUCUCCCUGACUCCUUGAGAGUCCUGAAGGAACGUUGAAGACGACGACGUUGAUAGGCCGG